UACGUAGGGGGCCAGCGUUGCUCGGAAUUACUGGGCGUAAAGGGUUCGUAGGCGGUGCGGUAAGUUGGGAGUGAAAUCUCUGGGCUUAACCCAGAGGCUGCUUUCAAAACUGCCGCGCUCGAGUGCGAGAGAGGUCAGUGGAAUUGCAGGUGUAGCGGUGAAAUGCGUAGAUAUCUGCAGGAACACCCGUGGCGAAGGCGGCUGACUGGAUCGCAACUGACGCUGAGGAACGAAAGCUAGGGGAGCAAACAGG
rnacentral:rRNA from 1 species